rnacentral:rRNA from 1 species
UACGAAGGGGGCUAGCGUUGUUCGGAAUUACUGGGCGUAAAGGGCGCGUAGGCGGUACUUCAAGUCAGGCGUGAAAGCCCCGGGCUCAACCUGGGAACCGCGCUUGAGACUGGAGAACUAGAGUUCGGGAGAGGAUGGUGGAAUUCCCAGUGUAGAGGUGAAAUUCGUAGAUAUUGGGAAGAACACCGAUGGCGAAGGCGGCGAUCUGGACGGUGACUGACGCUGAGACGCGAAAGCGUGGGGAGCAAACAGG